CCCCCGGCACCACCACCCCCCCGCCCCCAUUCCCUUGGGUGCCUGGCAGGGCCGCAGUCCGUCCCUGCCGGUCCCUCUCUCCAGCCCUGGGCCGGCCCCGCCUACAGCUGCACGGUGACUCCAGGAACACUCACAUCCGGCCCCCUCGGGACCAGAGGGUGUCUGCCUGUGUUUACGGCCCUGCCCUACAGGGGCCUCUGCUGUUGGGGCUGCUACAGCUGUCUGGGGAGGCAGGCUGGUGGGGCUGGCUCAUCCUAGACCUCCUAGAGCCUGGGGUGAGAGUGAGGGAACCGCACCCCCCUCCUCCCCGCCCACAGGUGAGCUUGGCCUGACCCCCAGCUUGGGUUGGGAACUGUCCAAAUCACUGCAGGAACCCUGUCAGCAACAGCAGUUUGAGUAAUGGAGCCCAUGGGACCAGAUGGAGGAAGAGUGUGUGGAGAAGGUGAGGACUAUUGAUGGAGUAAAAGCCAGAGUGGGCUGGGGCAGGGCUCUGAGAGCUCCUGGAAGGGGUCUGUAAGCCUUUUUACCCCCAGGCAGGGCAGGGGGUGUCUAGCCCCCCGACUCUUGGCUCAUCUAGCUACUCCCAGAGCACAGACCAGGGGCAGGGCAGACAGUUCGGGUUGCUGUGUGCCUUAGUCUGCAGACAUUCCAGUGAGAGAAACCAUCCAGCGACUGGAACAGGAGGUCGGAUGUCGAGUGACUAGAGAGGUGGGUGCCUUCUGGUGGAAUGUGGACCCCAGCCUGCAUUUCUGCCUCCCCAGGUCUUUGGAUUUCCCUCUCCAGUUUAUGCCUGGGCAGUUCAGGUUUCUCACCUUAGUAACCAUAGGUCACUGUUGAGUCCCAAGUUCCAGUCAGCCAAGCAAGAAAACUGUCAGGACAACACCAGCUGCACUAACUAACUCAUUAUAUCCAGUCUCCAGUAAGCGGCCUUGUAUCAGUGAGCUUUGCUCCGUGCAGUGAGGUCCGCUCUCACUGGCUUAACACCCUGAGAAUCCACUCCCGUGCGGCUUCUUGAGUGUUGACUGUACAUCUGUCUGCAGGUCUUGCCCUUCUGUGUAAGAGCGGUUCCCUUCUGGGUCGCCAUGAGCACCCGCUCCCCGGAGCGUGCUGAGGCUUGACCCGUGGCACUUGUGGGUCUAGUGACAGCAGGGGGCGCUUGUGUUCCCCAGCCAGGGAUUGAACGUGUGCCUGAGAGGGUAACAGGCAGGAAGGCCAGAGGUUCCCAAGCAGCAGGAGGAAAUAAACUGCAAGUGGCAGACGACCUGCUUUGAGCGAACUAAUGUUUUUCUUGUGGAAAUGUUUUUUAAACUAUGUAUUUGCUGUAGAAUUUGCCUUUCUUCAAAAUGGUUCCACCCAAGAAUAACUUUUUUCUUUUCUCAAACCUUGGGCUGAUAAUGGCUCAACAAACCAGUAUUCCUAUCAAUUGUUUUAUGGCUGGGGGAUGCCAUCCUAUCUAUUGUGGGAGAGGGCUAGUGAAACUCCCUCAGCCUUGAGGUGUCUCUCUUAUCUGAUUAAUAGCUUUCUAACAGAUAUUAAACACCUUGCUAAAAGCUAGCAAGGGGGCCCUCUUUCUGUCCUCUUCUGAUGUCAGUGUCAGAAGCUUUCCUAUCUCUAUACUUUUUUGUUACACAAAAAGUUCCCCAAGCAGUCAAGCCUCAUCUCUGACCCCAGAUUGAAAUCCUCUCCUCCGGAGGUCACGGGUCCCGGUGAAACACACAGCCCACGGCAGCAACCUUUCACGCCAUUAGUAGAGGAAGCACGGUCCUAACCACUGGACCACCAAGGAACUCCGUCUCUUUUAAAUACAGCAGCAUGUGCAUGUCCUUCCCAAACUCCCAGGCUAUCUCCUGUCCUUCCCCCAGUAGCCCUAGGUUUUUCUCUAAGUCUAUGAGUUUUUGAAGUUCAUUUGUAUCAUUAAAAAAAAAUUCUACAUAUAAGUGAUAUCAUAUUUUUCUCUGUCAGACUUACUUCACUUAAUAUGAUAAUCUCCCAGUCAAUCCAUGCUGUUGCAAAUGGCAUUACUUCAUUCUUUUUCACGGCUGAGUAGUAUUCACUAUGUAUCACAUACACCCCCUACAUCUUUGUUAUCCAUUCAUCUUGUUGAUGGCAUUUAGGCCAUGGAUUUCUAAUGUUUCAUUUCCUACUGCCAAGGAGCUCAGCAGUGGACUCAAGCCAAAGGCACCAUUAUCCAUUCAUCCUGUUGAUGACAUUUAGGCCAUGGAUUUCUAAUGUCUCAUUUCCCACUGCCAAGGAGCUCAGUAGUGCAAUCAAGCCAAAGGCAGGAACAAACCAACCCCCAAAUCCUGUCUUUGUGAAUUUAUCUCUGGGAACACUUUGUGAGUUUAUCUCUGGGAACACUCCAGAUGCCAAGGCUCUUAUCAGUCUGGAUCCAGUCUAGAGAGAAAAGCCACACAGUAAUUUGAACAGGGAAAGUUUAAUAUAGAGAAUCAAUGACUUUAACAGCAACAUGAAAUAAGGAGGGGAUUCAUUGGUAAGGGGCCCUGGGAGUUACUGGAAAUCCACCUUCAGGGGUAUGGUGGAGAGGCAUUCAGAGAGACACCUCAGUGGAGGCUGUCCUGUGCAGGGUCGGGGGUGGAGGGCGCCAGGGGAAGCUGCUGACCACCUGAUUCACCUCAGCAGAUGCGGGGAGCCCUGCACCACCAUGCACUGCAGGGCAGCUGAAGCAAGCACCCCUGAGCAGAGCCACAAAGCAAAAGCCUUUCCUCCCUUGAAGAACAUCUCUCGGGCGCCCUCUACUGGCAACCCUUAUCAGGCCAGUUAGCAAAGGACAAUACUUCAAAGGCCCAAAGCAAACAACGUUGAAUUUGGAGCUGAGUGUCAAUAAGGAGAACGCUGUGGGACUCCCCGCAUGUAGUGGAUAUGGACCAGGGAUACUGCAGCCCGCAGUGAGCCGAGUCGUCCCACACAGGGAAGAAUCAGCCCUGUAGAAUGCCAGUAGUGCCCCCUGGCAGGAAACAGGAGCACAUGCAAGUGGGAUAAUCCGACUUCUGACAGAAGUCAAGAGAAGUUUCUUGCCAGAGAAGUGGGCACGGUGUGGGGCAACCACAGGGGAGAGUGCAGCUCCCCGGGGCUACUUGCAGCCAGGGGCCCUUACCUCCCCCAGGAUAGAGAAGGGGGCUCCUGAAACUGGGAAGGAGAGAAGCAUGUGGAGAGGGCUAUCUGACAAGCUGAGAGGAGCUGUGAGCUUCAGGCUAGGUGCAGCCAGCCACAGCACCCCGGCGGUGGAGAACAAAUGUCCCAACCUCAGGCUCUCCUCCCCUCACCCCAGCCCGACCCCCCGAGUUGAAUGAGCCGAACAGAGCCAGAAGGAUGAGCUGCUGGGCACUCAGCACAGCCUGGCAGAGACCUUGCUUGAUGGGGAGGGGCCGAAGGCUAGGCGGGGAUGGGGCUGCCGGCUGCAUCCCGGGACUGCUCCUCUGGCCCCACCUUGAGGCCCUGUGCCCAGUCAGCC